rfam:Camelus ferus unplaced genomic scaffold scaffold7713, whole genome shotgun sequence.
AGGGGUGUAGCUCAUUGGUAGAGCAUGUGCUUAGAGCAUGCCUGAGGUUUUGGGUUCAAUCCCCAGCACCUCCA